rnacentral:tRNA from 1 species
GGUUGUAGCUCAGUGGUAGAGCGCUUGCCUAGCACGUGUGAGGCCCUGUGUUCGAUGCUCAGCACCA